rnacentral:rRNA from 1 species
AGAGUUUGAUCCUGGCUCAGGACGAACGCUGGCGGCGUGCCUAAUACAUGCAAGUAGAACGCUGAAGAGAGGAGCUUGCUCUUCUUGGAUGAGUUGCGAACGGGUGAGUAACGCGUAGGUAACCUGCCUUGUAGCGGGGGAUAACUAUUGGAAACGAUAGCUAAUACCGCAUAACAAUGGAUGACCCAUGUCGUUUAUUUGAAAGGGGCAAAUGCUCCACUACAAGAUGGACCUGCGUUGUAUUAGCUAGUAGGUGAGGUAACGGCUCACCUAGGCGACGAUACAUAGCCGACCUGAGAGGGUGAUCGGCCACACUGGGACUGAGACACGGCCCAGACUCCUACGGGAGGCAGCAGUAGGGAAUCUUCGGCAAUGGGGGCAACCCUGACCGAGCAACGCCGCGUGAGUGAAGAAGGUUUUCGGAUCGUAAAGCUCUGUUGUAAGUCAGGAACGAGUGUGAGAGUGGAAAGUUCACACUGUGACGGUAGCUUACCAGAAAGGGACGGCUAACUACGUGCCAGCAGCCGCGGUAAUACGUAGGUCCCGAGCGUUGUCCGGAUUUAUUGGGCGUAAAGCGAGCGCAGGCGGUUUGAUAAGUCUGAAGUUAAAGGCUGUGGCUCAACCAUAGUUCGCUUUGGAAACUGUCAAACUUGAGUGCAGAAGGGGAGAGUGGAAUUCCAUGUGUAGCGGUGAAAUGCGUAGAUAUAUGGAGGAACACCGGUGGCGAAAGCGGCUCUCUGGUCUGUAACUGACGCUGAGGCUCGAAAGCGUGGGGAGCGAACAGGAUUAGAUACCCUGGUAGUCCACGCCGUAAACGAUGAGUGCUAGGUGUUGGAUCCUUUCCGGGAUUCAGUGCCGCAGCUAACGCAUUAAGCACUCCGCCUGGGGAGUACGACCGCAAGGUUGAAACUCAAAGGAAUUGACGGGGGCCCGCACAAGCGGUGGAGCAUGUGGUUUAAUUCGAAGCAACGCGAAGAACCUUACCAGGUCUUGACAUCCCGAUGCUAUUUCUAGAGAUAGAAAGUUACUUCGGUACAUCGGUGACAGGUGGUGCAUGGUUGUCGUCAGCUCGUGUCGUGAGAUGUUGGGUUAAGUCCCGCAACGAGCGCAACCCCUAUUGUUAGUUGCCAUCAUUCAGUUGGGCACUCUAGCGAGACUGCCGGUAAUAAACCGGAGGAAGGUGGGGAUGACGUCAAAUCAUCAUGCCCCUUAUGACCUGGGCUACACACGUGCUACAAUGGUUGGUACAACGAGUUGCGAGUCGGUGACGGCAAGCUAAUCUCUUAAAGCCAAUCUCAGUUCGGAUUGUAGGCUGCAACUCGCCUACAUGAAGUCGGAAUCGCUAGUAAUCGCGGAUCAGCACGCGGCGGUGAAUACGUUCCCGGGCCUUGUACACACCGCCCGUCACACCACGAGAGUUUGUAACACCCGAAGUCGGUGAGGUAACCUUUUGGAGCCAGCCGCCUAAGGUGGGAUAGAUGAUUGGGGUGAAGUCGUAACAAGGUA